AGAAAGUGAAGUUAGCAUAACAAGUAACUUAUCUAACUCACAUGCAAUUUUAUAUAGACUCAGAAUAUGGCAUCUACUUUCCAAAACUGCCCAACAUUAUAAGAAAGCAAACAGCAUAAGGUAAUGAAUAGAUGUGGGAAACCUGCAAAGUCGCUGAGCGUUAUCUGAUACUAGGGGUAGUCGCCACUUGUUUAUGUCGAACCAUGGACCAAUAACAUUCAUUCUUGCAAGGGUCAAGUCCGUCAUAACCAAAGAACUUGGUUCGGGAGCUAAAGUAUGAAACAAAGAAGGUGUUAGGCACUCUGCCUCGCCCAACCGAUUGAUUGGCCUCUACUCGUCGUUCAUGGGAUUUCGAAAAUAAUUUUGACAUUAGCCUAUCAACUAAGGAGGGGAAACAGGCAAUAGGAGAUGAAAGUUUAGUCUAACAACCAAGGCAUGCUACUAAUUGAUGAAAGCAGAUAAAUAGUCAAAGAGCGUGA